UCACAAUUUUCAACUUUUCUCUUUUACCAAUAUAUCAUCACAUCACAAUUGUACUUGGCUCUACAUUUCUCUCUCUAAUUUUCAACAGGGUUAGGAAACCUUCACUCUUUCUCUCUUUAUUUCUCAGCUCUUCAUUUCUUCUUCUCCAAAGGAUUUCUUCAUCUCCCUUUCUUACAAAAAAUGCUUCAUCCCUCUUUCUUCCAACUUCUUCUUUGAACAUAAAUCUCACCCCGUCUGUCCUGCAAACAAAAAUCAAAAUCAUGAAUCAAAGUGAAAUAAAGAAGGAAAAAAGGUACCAAUCAGAAUAGAGGAAACGACGGUAGAUCUGACAUUUUUGACGUUUUUAUGACGGUGUGCGAUUUUGCAGUGGUAGAUUUAUAUGUUGUCUUCCUUAGUAGAAAAUGUAUAUUUUUAUUUUGUGUUUGUGUUUUCCAUAUUUACCAAUGUUAUUUUCUUUGGUAAAAAUUGUAUUUGUUUCGGUUUGAUGUUUUGUGUUUGUGUUUAUCUUUGUGUUUGUGUUCAUCUUUGUGUUUGUGUUUGUAUUCAUGUUCAUCUUUGUGUUUGUGUGUGUUCAUCUUUGAAAUAUAUAUGCCUUAUUAUCAUAAAAAUGAGGUGUUAAGACAGUGAUUACAAAUGAAGAUGAAGGAAAUGAAGAGAUUGGGUUUUCAAGUUGUUCCAUUUAAAUUUUUUGAAAAAUGAAGAAAUUGUGUAGAUGGUUGAUUUUGAAGUGUGUUUGUUAAUUUUCAUGUUAUUACAAAUAAAGUUAUUUGUAUGUGUUUUAAUGUUAUUUCAUGUUAGUUUAAAUAAAGUUUUGUCCAAUAAAUAAUACUAUAAUAGCAUGACUAUUUUUAUACUUAUUUCUUUUGAUGCAAAAUAUAUUUGACUUUUGAGGGAUGAUGCUCAUCGGUGCAUAUUCCGAGAAUGGAUAGAUUUGUAAUAUGAAGGACAUUCUCUGAUGGACAACUGAGAAGUAAGAAAAGCUCAGAAGGUUUUAAUACACAAAACUAUCACGAUAAAGGUGGUUGAUACUCUCCUAGGUUUGUGGAUGGAUAUUGAAACCUGUCUAGCAUUGUAUUACAAAAACUCAGUUUGAUAAAACCAUUAAGCCAUUGAACAAAUUUCAAAUAUAGAAGAAAGCUUAAUAGAUCAUUGAACAGUUGUGAUGGUGUAGACACAAUGUAAAGUGUCCUAUUUUAUAUGCCAAUUUUGUGUAAAUACUCUAUACAAUUUUAAAGCAUGUAUUAUUGUAGCA